GAUGCUGACACGACAAAUUCUGAUUCUAAGUGGCUUGGCCAGAUUCCUACCUACAGAUCAAGCAGGAUUUUCUGGACUUCUAUAAUUGUAGCCCUGGUCAGGGUGGGACCACAGAUUUCCAGUUCUCUUCCAAAUCUGCCUAAAGUGGACAAAAUGGAGCUCUUUGUACAGCCAGGCUUUUGGAGCACAGGUAUAUUUAUUGGGAUACAAAUUGUUGAAAUCAUAAUAAGGCCCCAACUACUAUUUCAUUCUACUUGUCCUAUUUUUUAAUGCAGGGUACUCCUUUGGUUGGAGUUCCACAAUCUUGGGGAAUUCUUGUUUUUCUUUUUUUUUUCUUUUCUUUUCUUUUACUUUUUUUAUUCUUUUAAUAAUAAAUUUAUUUUUUAUUGGUGUUCA
rnacentral:lncRNA from 12 species